UAGGGAAUAUUAGUAAUGGGCGAAAGCCUGAACUAGCAACGCCGCGUGUGCGAAGAAGGCCUUCGGGUUGUAAAGCACUUUUUGAGAGGAUGAGGAAGGACUGUACUCUCAGAAUAAGUCUCGGCUAACUACGUGCCAGCAGCCGCGGUAACACGUAGGAGGCGAACGUUAUCCGGAUUUACUGGGCGUAAAGCGCGUGUAGGUGGUUUGGUAAGUAGGGCGUGAAAGCUCCUGGCUCAGCUGGGAGGGGCCGUUCUAAACUGCCGAACUAGAGGAUGGUAGAGGGAGGUGGAAUUCCGGGUGUAGCGGUGGAAUGCGCAGAUAUCCGGAGGAACACCAGUGGCGAAAGCGGCCUCCUGGACCAUUCCUGACACUCAGACGCGAAAGCUAGGGUAGCAAACGG
rnacentral:rRNA from 1 species